rnacentral:rRNA from 1 species
CAGCAGCCGCGGGAAUACGGAGGGAGCUAGCGUUGUUCGGAAUUACUGGGCGUAAAGCGCGCGUAGGCGGUUACUCAAGUCAGAGGUGAAAGCCCGGGGCUCAACCCCGGAACUGCCUUUGAAACUAGGUGACUAGAAUCUUGGAGAGGUCAGUGGAAUUCCGAGUGUAGAGGUGAAAUUCGUAGAUAUUCGGAAGAACACCAGUGGCGAAGGCGACUGACUGGACAAGUAUUGACGCUGAGGUGCGAAAGCGUGGGGAGCAAACAGGAUUAGAUACCCCGGUAGUCCCUGUCUCUUAUAA